CCUACGGGAGGCAGCAGUGGGGAAUAUUGGGCAAUGGGCGCAAGCCUGACCCAGCAACGCCGCGUGAAGGAAGAAGGCUUUCGGGGUGUAAACUUCUUUUCUCAGGGACGAAGAAAGUGACGGUACCUGAGGGAUAAGACACGGCUAACUACGUGCCAGCAGCCGUGGUAAUGCGUAGGUGGCAAGCGUUAUCCGGAUUUAUUGGGUGUAAAGGGCGUGUAGGCGGGAGCGGAAGUGCGAUGUGAAAACUCAGGGCUCAACCCUGAGCCUGCAUUUGAAACUGUGUUUCUUGAGUGCUGGAGAGGUAAUCGGAAUUCCGUGUGUAGCGGUGAAAUGCGUAGAUAUACGGAGGAACACCAGUGGCGAAGGCGGAUUGCUGGACAGUAACUGACGCUGAGGCGCGAAAGCGUGGGGAGCAAACAGGAUUAGAUACCCCGGUAGUC
rnacentral:rRNA from 1 species